GACGAACGCUGGCGGCGUGCUUAACACAUGCAAGUCGAACGGAAAGGCCCUGCUUUUGUGGGGUGCUCGAGUGGCGAACGGGUGAGUAACACGUGAGUAACCUGCCCUUGACUUUGGGAUAACUUCAGGAAACUGGGGCUAAUACCGGAUAGGAGCUCCUGCUGCAUGGUGGGGGUUGGAAAGUUUCGGCGGUGGGGGAUGGACUCGCGGCUUAUCAGCUUGUUGGGGGGGUAGUGGCUUACCAAGGCUUUGACGGGUAGCCGGCCUGAGAGGGUGACCGGCCACAUUGGGACUGAGAUACGGCCCAGACUCCUACGGGAGGCAGCAGUGGGGAAUAUUGCACAAUGGGCGGAAGCCUGAUGCAGCAACGCCGCGUGCGGGAUGACGGCCUUCGGGUUGUAAACCGCUUUCGCCUGUGACGAAGCGUGAGUGACGGUAAUGGGUAAAGAAGCACCGGCUAACUACGUG
rnacentral:rRNA from 1 species